rnacentral:tRNA from 1 species
GGAGAGGUGCCAGAGUGGUCUAAUGGAACGGUCUUGAAAACCGUCGCUGGUGAAAGCCGGCCCAGGGUUCGAAUCCCUGCCUCUCCG